AUUCCAUGAUGGGGACAUUCUAGGAUGUAGUCUUAAAAGCGCUCCCAUGCUUCUAGAACAGAUUCAUCAUUUUGUUGCUGAAAGCUUGUAAUCUUCCCACGGAGAGC
rnacentral:snoRNA from 1 species